AUACGGGGGGGGCAAGCGUUGUUCGGAAUUACUGGGCGUAAAGGGCGCGUAGGCGGCUGUGCAAGUCAAAGGUGAAAUCCCUCGGCUCAACCGAGGAACUGCCUCUGAUACUGCACAGCUUGAGUCCCGGAGAGGGUGGCGGAAUUCCCAGUGUAGCGGUGAAAUGCGUAGAUAUUGGGAGGAACACCAGUGGCGAAGGCGGCCACCUGGACGGGUACUGACGCUGAGGCGCGAAAGCGUGGGGAGCAAACAGGAUUAGAAACCCCGGUAGUCC
rnacentral:rRNA from 1 species